GACGAACGCUGGCGGCGUGCUUAACACAUGCAAGUCGAACGGAAAGGCCCUGCUUGCAGGGUACUCGAGUGGCGAACGGGUGAGUAACACGUGGGUGAUCUGCCCUGCACUUCGGGAUAAGCCUGGGAAACUGGGUCUAAUACCGGACAGGAGCCAUUUUUAGUGUGAUGGUUGGAAAGUUUUUUCGGUGUAGGAUGAGCUCGCGGCCUAUCAGCUUGUUGGUGGGGUAAUGGCCUACCAAGGCGGCGACGGGUAGCCGGCCUGAGAGGGUGGACGGCCACAUUGGGACUGAGAUACGGCCCAGACUCCUACGGGAGGCAGCAGUGGGGAAUAUUGCACAAUGGGCGCAAGCCUGAUGCAGCGACGCCGCGUGGGGGAUGACGGCCUUCGGGUUGUAAACUCCUUUCGCUAGGGACGAAGCUUUUUGUGACGGUACCUAGAUAAGAAGCACCGGCUAACUACGUG
rnacentral:rRNA from 1 species